GAUGAACGCUAGCUACAGGCUUAACACAUGCAAGUCGAGGGACCGGCGCACGGGUGAGUAACACGUAUCCAACCUGCCCUUUACUCGGGGAUAGCCUUUCGACAGAAAGAUUAAUACCCGAUGUAAAGGAUGGGGAUGCGUUCCAUUAGGUUGUUGGUGGGGUAACGGCUCACCAAGCCUUCGAUGGAUAGGGGUUCUGCGAGGAAGGGCCCCCAAAUUGGAAACGGGACACGGGCCAAACUCCUACCGGAGGCAGCAGUGAGGAAUAUUUGUCAAUGGGCGUUAGCCUGAACCAGCCAAGUAGCGUGAAGGAUGAAGGCUUAUGGGUCGUAAACUUCUUUUAUAUAAGAAUAUGUAUUAUAUGAAUAAGGAUCGGCUAACUCCGUGCCAGCAGCCGCGGUAAUAC
rnacentral:rRNA from 1 species